CCUACGGGAGGCUGCAGUGGGGAAUUUUGCGCAAUGGGCGAAAGCCUGACGCAGUAACGCCGCGUGGAGGAUGAAGGCCUUCGGGUCGUAAACUCCUGUCAGGGGGAAAGACAACUAUGUGUCAAAUAGACACAGAGUGAGACGGUACCCCCAAAGGAAGCCCCGGCUAAUUCCGUGCCAGCAGCCGCGGUAAUACGGAAGGGGCAAGCGUUGUUCGGAAUCAUUGGGCGUAAAGGGCGCGUAGGCGGUUUUGUUUGUCCGCUGUGAAAGUCCACGGCUCACCCGUGGAGAGUCGGUGGAAACGGCAAGACUUGAGGCUGGGAGGGGUUGGUGGAAUUCCCUGUGUAGCGGUGAAAUGCGUAGAUACGGGGGAGAACACUCGUGGCGAAGGCGGCCAGCUGGCCCAGUCCUGACGCUGAGGCGCGACAGCGUGGGGAGCA
rnacentral:rRNA from 1 species